rnacentral:sRNA from 1 species
GUUCUCGCCCCGCCCUCUCCCCGCCUCCUCCCUAGAUAUCGCGAGAGGGCGGGUCCGCUUGGCUUCGGCGUCGGCGUCGCUCCCGCCCUGGAGCUUUAGGCCGGCGUCUCUCCGCGAGCCGCGGGUCAAGUGCCGGCGGCUAAGGGUGCGCGAGUAGACGCCACCCGUUCGGCGUUGGCUCUGGCGUCCGGGUCGUUGUGUCGUGACAACCGCUCCGGUAGCCGUUUCCGAGGCAGCAGGUGCGGCCGCUUUAGCCCUGAGCGGGCUCUGUGGCUGCCUGUGAGUCUGCUGUGCCGACCCUUCUCUUCCCGGACCCCACGCCAAGCAGCGACCCUGAGCCGACAGCCGGAGCGCCCGGCAAUGGCGGCCUCGACGGCCUCGCACCGGCCCAUCAAGGGGAUCUUGAAGAACAAGACCUCUACCACUUCCUCUAUGGUGGCGUCGGCCGAACAGCCCCGCGGGAAUGUCGACGAGGAGCUGAGCAAAAAGUCCCAGAAGUGGGAUGAAAUGAACAUCUUGGCGACGUAUCAUCCGGCAGAUAAAGACUAUGGUUUAAUGAAAAUAGAUGAACCAAGCACUCCUUACCAUAGGUAAUGUUAUGUAGACAUCACUCCUCUUGGGACUUACUUCCAUUUUGCAUUUCUUAUGAACGUCUGGAUAACAGCCUAUUUGAAUUUGUUUUAUUGUAGAUUUGUUACUGGAGCACUAGUGAAGUCAGUAGCCUGACUGCAGUUUGUUUAGUAACGGUUUAAGUGAUGUGUAAGUUUAAAAUUAUGAAAGCCGUUUUGCACAUUAUAAUGACAGUAGUAAAUGUUUAUUUGUUGCACCUCAGUGGUUGCUGGCUACUAAUGGUGUGUAUAUUAGUUUUAACUUCCGUGAAAGGAAGAUGAGAUAUGGGCUUGUUUCCUUCCCAAGUAGAAAUCUGGGGUUUACUCAGUCUCUUUGCAGAGAAGCAUAACUGUAUGGAUGGUAACCCACUGAAAGAUAGGUGUCAUUAUUACUGUUUAUGUCUUUACUUUUUAACUUAAUGUAAUAUUGUUGUUCAGAUCAUUACAUGUAAUUUUUGACAAUUUCAAGUCUCAGAAUUUUCAAAAUGAAUUGUGAAAUUACAUUAUGCAGCAGUAACCAGUAUGAAGACAAAAAUAAUGCAAUAAGCAUUGUGAGAAGAUGAAGAUUCUAAAUAAGUAUAGAUACCUAAUUAAGAUAAUACCUUGGGCCAGGCGCUGUGGUCACGCCUGUAAUCCCACCACUUUGGGAGGCCAAAGUGGGCGGAUCACCUGAGGUGAGGUGUUCAAGACCAGCCUGGCCAACAUGGUGAAACCCCAUCUCUACUAAAAAAAAAAAAAAAAAUACAAAAAUUAGCCGGGCAUGGUGGCGGGCACUGUAAUCCCAGCUACUCGGGAGGCUGAGGCAGGAGAAUUGCUUGAACCCAGGAGACGGAGGUUGCAGUAAGCCAAGAUCGCACCAUUGCACUCCAGCCUGGGCGACAAGAGCAAAAUUCUGUCUCAAAAAAAAAAAAAAGAUAAUACCUUGGCUGGGCAUGGUGACUCUUGCCUGUACUUCCAGCACUUUGAGAUUACAGAGGCAGAGGUGGGAGUGUUGCUUCAGGCCAGGAGAUCAAGACCAGCCUAAGCAACAUAGACUCUUUCUCCGAAAAAAAAAA